rnacentral:lncRNA from 1 species
UUGCGUUUCCCUCACUCCAUUCUUCUCUCAACUACACAAUAAACUAAUCAGAAUUAGUAAACAAAUCCAUCAAAUUACAGGUAAAACUCCGCUGCUGCACAGUCUGGCAUCUACAAUGCAAGUUCAUAUUGCCGACCAAGCAUACACACGACACAACACCCACUUUAACACUCGAUCCCUCAUCGAAAUCCCAACACAAAACUCGAUAGCAUAGUAACUUUUUUUCAUUUUCCAGGAGUUACUUUUCACCCUUUUUUUGGUUUCAGAUACUUUUCCCUUCACUUGCCUCGUAAUUCCCGCAGUCUAACUGUCAAAAUGCCACAACAUUUGUGAGAACCUUCCAAUAAUUGGCGCAUCAUUUUUUUUUUCUUUACUUGUUGUGCACAAGAAAAGGGACAUUUUUUUGUUUUCCGAAUUCUUGAUCUGGAAAACGAAAUGGAGGGUGGUGAAGAAAAAACAGUGAAAAUGAAGUUGCAGGCCGAUCGGACCUUCAAUUUGGAGCCUGAUGCGGUGGUUUCUUCUCCAGUGACANNNNN